rnacentral:lncRNA from 10 species
AGUGGCACAAUCUUGACUCAUUGCAACCUCCACCCCCUGAACUCAAAUGAUCCUCCCACCUCAGCCUCACGAGCAGCUGCAACUACAGGUGAUUUUUUAUAUUUUUUGUAGAGACAGGAUUUGGCUGUGUUGCCCAGGCUGGUCUCGAGCUCCUGGACUCAAGUGAUCUGCCCACCUUGGCUUUCCACAGUGCUGGGAUUACAGGCGUGAGCCACCACAUCUGGCCUUCCUUAGCCUUUUUUUUCUGUAUACAAAGGGUCACGCCAGAGAUUGGAGAAGAUGAAGAUAUCAGAAGGUGUAAUGCUGGCAUUGUUCCAUAGCAACGGGCCUUAGGUACAUGGCAGAAAAAGAGAGAGAAAAAGUUGUUCCCUUCUCAUAGUGUCCCUACCUGGAGUUAGCUGUCAGCCAAAAGCACUUUAAUGUAUCACGUCCUGGUGGCUACACAGGUUACACAAUUGUCAAAACCCAUUGGGCUGCACACUUAAUACCUAUGCAUUUUGUUGUAUGUUCAUUAUCUCAACAUUUUUUUCAAUAAAAAAAUUAAACUAGAAAACAA